ACGUAGGGUGCGAGCGUUGUCCGGAAUCACUGGGCUUAAAGCGCGUGUAGGCGGGCCGGCACGUCGGUCGCUGAAAGCCCCCGGCUCAACCGGGGAACGGGCGCCGAUACGACCGGCCUGGAGGGGGGUAGGGGGCGCCGGAACUGCCGGUGGAGCGGUGAAAUGCGUUGAGAUCGGCAGGAACGCCCGUGGCGAAAGCGGGCGCCUGGACCCCACCUGACGCUGAGACGCGAAAGCCAGGGGAGCGAACGGGA
rnacentral:rRNA from 1 species